GAAUUCUUUCAGAAAAAAAAAUUAUUUUAAAAUAUUUUUUGUGCAUAGAUAAAUGUCCGGGAAAAUAAUUGAGCCAUGUUGUUGUUUAAUGAAAAGACCAAUAAUCAUGAUGUUGGAGUUAUCCAUGGACUUUAAAGGUACACAACUUUUCAUGGUUUUUGAAUGUGAAAUGAUCACCCGUGGCAUGGUUAUUUGCUGCGUGACCUGCUAGCACAGAUGACUUUGCUGUGAGGAAGUCAAUGUUAAGCAAGAAAUUGUUUUGGUAUUAAAAAAUCGAGAAAUUCAGUUUAAUGCACCUCUACGCAACUCUUCACAAACGAUUCAUUGCAACUAUAUGUGAAACGAGUUUUCUCAGUUCUAUCAUUUGAUCGUGGAGUACCUACAAAUCAUUCUUCGAAAAGAGAAUACAAAAAAAUCUCAGUUUGUUCUCACGGUCAGAGAUUCAACGUUAAGUUAUGACCAUACCACAGCGUGCACAUCUGCACAUCGUAUUAAUUUAGCGAAUCGUAUUGAAGCACUUCGCACAGGAGUAUGAAGUAGAUGAAAAUAUUAUAAAAUAGCCCGGCCAAGAAGUCCUACGCACAUAUUUAUUCACCCUGAUUUUUACUAUCCAUGCCUUUUUAUAUUUAAUAAAAAAA